UUAUCUCUGUAGAGUCUGCAUAUCAAUAAGCGGAGGAAAAGAAACUAACAAGGAUUCCCCUAGUAACGGCGAGUGAAGCGGGAAGAGCUCAAAUUUGAAAUCUUCAAGGUUUGACCUUGACGAAUUGUAGUUUAAAGAAGUGUUUUCGGUUAGAGGAGUAGUAAAAGUUCUUUGGAAUAGGACAUCAUAGAGGGUGAGAAUCCCGUAUUUGACUAUUCUUUCUAGCUUUGUGAUACACUUUCAAAGAGUCGGAUUGUUUGGGAAUGCAGUCCAAAAUGGGUGGUAAAUUUCAUCUAAAGCUAAAUAUUGGCGAGAGACCGAUAGCGAACAAGUACCGUGAGGGAAAGAUGAAAAGAACUUUGAAAAGAGAGUUAAACAGUACGUGAAAUUGUCAAAAGGGAAGCGUUUGACACCAGUGUUGUUUUUCCGAAAAUCAAUUAAAAAUUGAUUCAUGCCAGGUUGUAUUGACCUUAUCAGCUUGCAAUUUGGUUUUGGGUCUCUUUUUGAUGCACUUUUUCGGUUAACAAGUCAACAUCAAUUUCCUUUGCUGUAAAAAGGUAAGAGGAAGGUGGCUUCAAUUUCGGUUGAAGUGUUUAUAGCCUUUUAUCUCUGCAGUCGGGGAGAUUGAGGUCUGCAGCGUAGAUCCUUCGGGGCUAGAUACAUUUAUGCUAAGUUAUAGCUUUUCAUAGACAACUUGUUGACUAUGUUUAGUCAUGUAGCUUACUCGUAAGUGCUAUUUUACCUACGCUUAGGAUGUUGAAGACUCUACAGAGAUA
rnacentral:rRNA from 1 species